rnacentral:lncRNA from 1 species
CAGUGCAUCUGGACUUGGUUCAAGUGGCACCAGCCAAAUCCCUGCCUUACUGACCUCUCCCCUGGAGGAGCAGGAGCAGCGCUCAAGGCCGCCCUGGGAGGGCUGAGAGGCAGGCUCUGGACUGGGGACACAGGGAUAGCUGAGCCCCAGCUGGGGGUGGAAGCUGAGCCAGGGACAGUCACAGAGGAACAAGAUCAAGAUGCGCUUUAACUGAGAAGCCCCCAAGGCAGAGGCUGAGAAUCAGAAGACAUUUCAGCAGACAUCUACAAAUCUGAAGGACAAAACAUGGUUCAAGCAUCUGGGCACAGGCGGGCUUUAGAUCCUGUUUCUAGAGACCCACUGGUGUCUCACAGGCAACUCAGCUCCUAGAUGGAAACAGCCUCCUCCGCCCCCCACAAGUCCACUCCUCCUGUGCUCUUGGCUCAGUCAGGGGUCCCCUUCUCUUCAGUUGCUCAAGCCAGAAGUCAAGGUCAUGUCCUUGAUACUUCCCUCUUCCCCAUGCCUCACAUCCAGUCACCAAUCUCCUAAAAUAUCUAGAAUGUGCACAGCUUCCACCAUUCUUUCUACCACCACCCUACUCCCCCAUGGCCAUGUCAGGCCACCACCCGCCCAUUCUUCAAAACUCCCUUCAGGCCUCACCUCCCAUGCCUCCCCUGAGUUCCCCCAGUCCCAGGCUGCUUCUCUCUGGUGGUGUUGCCAUUACCCAUCUCUUCUAUUAAACAGAGUGACCCAAGAGUGGAGAGUGGGUUUUGACUUUGUAUCCCUGGUGCUUGACUCAUAAGUAGGUGCUCAACAAAAAUUUUUUCUUUUUUUGAGAUGGAGUCUUGUUCUGUUGCCCAUGCUGGAGUG